UACGAAGGGUGCGAGCGUUAAUCGGAAUUACUGGGCGUAAAGCGCGCGUAGGCGGUUUGUUAAGUUGGAGGUGAAAUCCCCGGGCUCAACCUGGGAAGUGCCUCCAAAACUGGCUGACUAGAGUACGGUAGAGGGUGGUGGAAUUUCCUGUGUAGCGGUGAAAUGCGUAGAUAUAGGAAGGAACACCAGUGGCGAAGGCGACCACCUGGACUGAUACUGACGCUGAGGUGCGAAAGCGUGGGGAGCAAACAGG
rnacentral:rRNA from 1 species